AUUUUAAAGUGGUGCCAAUUUUCACUUCAGACAAAUCGCAGGUGUCCCACAUUUUGCUGUAUUUUAUUUCUAUCUUGAGAAAGGGAACUCAGACUCCGAGCUUGAAAACAAAAGGAGAUUUGAUUUUGAUUGGCGCAAGUUGUAUUGCUGUGUUGGUGAAGUGCUUUUGAUAAAGCUGUGGAGUGACUCAGCAGAAAACAGUCAGCAGAAUUUUUCCCCAAGCUUUUCCGUUUUCAGUUUCAGCUCUUCUUAACAAGAAAAUAUGUUAAACAGUAAUUAAAUAGCUCAGGGAAUGACUCUGCUCUUCCAGCACGGGGUUUGAAGUGCUGCUUUCUCUUCAGAGCACUCCCAUAAUACUCCCAAGAUUUGGAAGAAGCUGCCCUGAUUAACUCCGUGUUCAUAUGACAUCAAUUACUGCCUCGGCAGCAUUCAGGACAACGUUUAAUUCUCCGGAAUGCCCACACCCCGGUGUGGGAUCAUCUUGUCAGCAGGGAGCGACGUUCCAGCAAAGGUUCUGCAUGGACAGAAGUGGUACUGUGAGCCCGGUUGGACGGCACACCUCACUGCGAGGCUGUGAGUAAAGGGAAAACCCUCAGGAUGACACGGUCUGACUUACUUUGGCAUCUUACAUAAUGUUGACUUUCCUUGCACCUGUGUGUACUCAUACAGCUGAGAAAUGAGCAGACCCAAUGCACAUCCGAGAGGGCGUUAUUAUUUUCCCAAUUAAGACACUUAAUUAGCACUGCGGUGUGCCACCUUCAUCGUAUUUUCAGUCUCACAGCGGCCUAUUUUCAUCCAUCCACCACGCUAAAAGCUUUGCUCUUUCAUUACCCCUCCGUGAGUACACAGCUCUGACGAACCCGGCACUUCAUCCGCGGGGAUAAAAGUUUCGCGGCUCCCGACAGCGGCCCUCAAAGGCAGCCUUUCUUUUCAGAACGGCUCCCGAACCCACUCUAUUUGCACUCCGUGCCCUCGGAGCCGCCGAGCCCCGCGGAGGGCCCGCACACGGUGACACUCCGUCAUUAUCCCCACUUCCUUCUCCUGCGCAUUCCAUCCCCGGGCUCUUCCCGCCCCUUUUCUCCUCAGGCGCCCGGCGCUCUCCCGGCGGGCGGGGCCGUAGCGCACAGCCGGGCCAAAGGGACACUUCCC
ensembl:lncRNA